AUUGAACGCUGGCGGCAUGCUUUACACAUGCAAGUCGAACGGUAACAGGCCGCAAGGUUCUGACGAGUGGCGAACGGGUGAGUAAUGCAUCGGAACGUGCCCAGACGUGGCGGAUAACUACUCGAAAGAGUAGCUAAUACCGCAUACGAUCUAUUGAUGAAAGCGGGUGACCGUAAGGCCUCGCGCGAUUGGAUCUGCCGAUGUCAGAUUAGGUAGUUGGUGGGGUAAAGGCUCACCAAGCCAACGAUCUGUAGCUGGUCUGAGAGGACGACCCGCCACACUGGGACUGAGACACGGCCCAGACUCCUACGGGAGGCAGCAGUGGGGAAUUUUGGACAAUGGGCGCAAGCCUGAUCCAGCAAUGCCGCGUGCAGGAAGAAGGCCUUCGGGUUGUAAACUGCUUUUGUACGGAACGAAACGGCUCUGGUUAAUACCCGGGGCUAAUGACGGUACCGUAAGAAUAAGCACCGGCUAACUACGUG
rnacentral:rRNA from 1 species